GUCUUUUUGAAUAUAUAUAAAAAGUCUGACCUGCCCAGUGAUUUAUUUUAACGGCCGCGGUAUAUUGACCGUGCAAAGGUAGCAUAAUCAUUAGUCUUUUAAAAGAGGGCUGGAAUGAAAGGUUUGACGAGGUAUUGACUGUCUCAUUUUAUUUGGAUUUAGAAUUUAACUUUUUAGUCAAAAGGCUAAAAUUUAAUUGGUAGACGAGAAGACCCUAUAGAGCUUUAUAUUAAUUGUUUUAAUUUUAUUUAGAUAAUUUUUAAUUAAAGAACUUAGUAUUUUGUUGGGGUGACAGAAAAAUAAGAUUAACUUUUUUAAUUAUAUAACAUUAAUUUAUGAUUAGUUGAUCCAUUAUUAUUGAUUAAUAGAUUAAGUUACCUUAGGGAUAACAGCGUAAUCCUCCCCCAGAGUUCAUAUUUACGGGUAGGGCUUGCGACCUCGAUGUUGGAUUAAGAUAAUAAUUAGGUGUAGCCGCUUAAUUUAUAGGUCUGUUCGACCUUUAAAUUCUU
rnacentral:rRNA from 1 species